CCUACGGGAGGCAGCAGUGAGGAAUAUUGGUCAAUGGGCGCGAGCCUGAACCAGCGAAGUAGCGUGAAGGAUGACUGCCCUACGGGUUGUAAACUUCUUUGAAGGGGGAAGAGCAGAAGACGGUACCCCUUGAAUAAGCCACGGCUAACUACGUGCCAGCAGCCGCGGUAAGAAGUAGGUGGCAAGCGUUGUCCGGAUUUACGGGGUGUAAAGGGCGUGUAGGCGGAGAGAGAAGUCAGAUGUGAACUCCACGGACUCAACCCGUGAACUGCAUUUGAAAGUGUUUCCCUUGAGUGGCGGGAGGGUAAUCGGAAUUCCUUGUGUAGCGGUGAAAUGCGUAGAUAUAAGGAAGAACACCAGUGGCGAAGGCGGAUUACUGGACGAUAACUGACGGUGAGGCGCGAAAGCGUGGGGAGCAAACAGGAUUAGAUACCCCAGUAGUC
rnacentral:rRNA from 1 species